UGACUCUGGUUUUUCUUCAGACUGCACAAGUCUUUCGCCUUUUACUAAAGACUUCGGUGGAGAGGAGCAGCCAUGAGUUUAAGAUAUUUUUGGCAGGCUUUGCCGAAUGGCUG
ensembl:snRNA U5 U5 spliceosomal RNA